GUUUCAAUUCCUCAUAGGCAGGCUAUCGGCUAUUCUGACAUUUGUCUUCGGGAAUUGCCAUUCCCGG
rnacentral:sRNA from 1 species